UGGGGAAUAUUGCACAAUGGGCGGAAGCCUGAUGCAGCGACGCCGCGUGGGGGAUGAAGGCCUUCGGGUUGUAAACUCCUUUCGACAGGGACGAAGCUUUUGUGACGGUACCUGUAUAAGAAGCACCGGCUAACUACGUGCCAGCAGCCGCGGUAAUACGUAGGGUGCGAGCGUUGUCCGGAAUUACUGGGCGUAAAGAGCUCGUAGGUGGUUUGUCGCGUCGUCUGUGAAAUUCCGGGGCUUUACUCCGGGCGUGCAGGCGAUACGGGCUGACUUGAGUGCUGUAGGGGAGACUGGAAUUCCUGGUGUAGCGGUGAAAUGCGCAGAUAUCAGGAGGAACACCGAUGGCGAAGGCAGGUCUCUGGGCAGUAACUGACGCUGAGGAGCGAAAGCAUGGGUAGCGAACAGG
rnacentral:rRNA from 1 species